UUGAACAUGCAUCUACAUAUAAGUGAGGACUUCUCGAUUUCCACUACUUUCAUGGAACGUCUGUAUGAAGCAGAGAUGAUACGUAGUUUGUAGAAAACAAGUUGUGAAGUCUUUGACCAGUAGAUACACUGCUGAUGUCAUGGGACAAGUACACCCUUCAUGAAGGACCUUUUGAGGAGGUUGGAGCAACCGUGCUUAAACUUUUAUCAAUGGAGUAGAUUAGUUUUUAUAUAUUGUUGUUAAUAGACUAUAUUUCAUGGUUUGAGUAUGACUUUUUCAUCAUUGGG
rnacentral:lncRNA from 1 species